rnacentral:lncRNA from 1 species
UAUAAUGCCUCUAACAUAUCGCACUGCCCAAUAUGGUAAACAUACACUAGCAAACUAAAGUAAAGUCUAUUUUCCUGACCUUUCGAGCCAUUAUGUCUUUCUUAAACGUCAUUGAUCCUAACUCGGUAAGAUAUAUCUAUGUAGCAAAUUCUUCGAACUGGUUCUUCUGAAACUCCACAUUAAAGAGCUCGGAAGAAAAAGCAUGCCACUCUUGUGGACUGGCAACCAUUCAAACUAUGUAUGUCGAGAUUUUAACUAAGUAUGAACAAUCUAACUAUGGCUUAGCAGAUUCUGCAUCGCUCAUACUAGGCUCUCCUAUAGACGAAGCGCCCACAAGUCCUUUUGGAUUCCAUCUAGCUCACCGUCUUGGAACUCUAAAAUCCAGCCAGCUCUACUAGUCUAUAUAGUACAUUAGAAACCAUUUCCUGUUAGUGGUAAUAUAUCUAACCGUCUAUAUAAAUCAUACAUCAUAGUAUUCAAACUUAGCUAAUGUUUUAUUCAAAUCCAUUUUUAAAACAAACUAAAACAUUGAUAAAAAAAAAGAAAAAAACAAACUAAAACACAACUAUUUUAAGUUGAUUGAGGCAACCGCGUCUAAAUUCACAUUUAUCCAUCGACCUAAAGAAAAGUAAAUUCGUACAUGUUUGAUUAAAACAGCUGUUUGUUUCGACAAAGUAAAGUUUAUACAAUGUGGAUACCCUUAUACCCACCAACGGAAUACGAUAUAUAAUUGUGUGAAUGAACCGACAACGAACAAUAUGAUUAUCUUAAUGACCAGAAAAUGGUCCAUUAAAGGGAACAUAUUCCAGUGAUGGAGAAUACAAAGUUGACCAUAUCUAGCCCAUGCAGAAAGAAGAGAUCAUUUUAGAAAUCAAUAAGCA